UCGUGAUCCGUACCCCAAACCGACACAGGUGGGCGAGGAGAGUAUCCUAAGGCGUUUGAGACAACUCGGAUGAAGGAACUCGGCAAAUUGGUGCCGUAACUUCGGGAUAAGGCACGCCCACGCAAGUGGGCCGCAGUGAAGAGGGAGUGGCAACUGUUUAUCAAAAACACAGGACUCUGCAAACACGAAAGUGGAC
rnacentral:rRNA from 14 species